rnacentral:sRNA from 1 species
AGAUGCGGCUGAUAACCAUCUGCUUCUGAAACAACCU